rnacentral:rRNA from 1 species
UAGCAGCGAGCUAGCAAUAGUAAGCGAAUCNCAAAAAAGUAAGUCUCAGUUCGGAUUNUGGGCUGCAACCCGCCCACAUGAAGUCGGAGUUGCUAGUAAUCCCGAAUCAGCAUGUCGGGGUGAAUGCGUUCCCGGGUCUUGUACACACCGCCCGUCACGCCAUGGGAGUUGGCAACGCCCGAAGUCAGUGACCCAACCUUAACAGGAGGGAGCUGCCGAAGGCGGGGCUGAUAACUGGGGUGAAGUCGUAACAAGGUAAC